GAGCACCCGAUAUCAAGCAAGCACGAGUCCAAAACACUUCACCACCCAUCGACCCUCACCUUCCAGUCCUAUGUCAAUGCACAUCUUCUAUGUCGCUGUGCCACUCCGUGAUUUCCGCAACCCCAAGAUUUUGUAGAGAUUUUGUGUGAACUUAACCGUCGGCCUGCUUCACCGAUGCUCCACAAGGCGAUGUUCAGCCCGUCUUCCAUGGGGAGGGAAAGAAGCUGGAUCAGUUGCCAGCCUGAGAUGGAUGAAUAUGGCCAGAAGCUCUAGUUUCUCUGAGGAGCAGAUACCGCGCAGAUCAUAUGAAGGGUGACUGAUGACACUUUGGUGAGUGAGGCAGGCAGCGAAAUGAGAAUUGGCCCCGGCAGCAGGCAGACCGGGCAGCCAGGGGGUCCCUGGGGGCCUUCCUGCGCGGCAGGCCUGACGUUGGCAGAAACCCAGGGCCGGAGGCAUCGGGGAUGGAGGAGCUCUGCGGGGGCUCGGGUGUGAUUUAGAAUGUCUGUCACGCGGAGCGCGCCGUUAGCAUGUGCGCUCCGGGGCGCUACUCGCUCGCACACGUCAGCAUGAAAAAAAUAAAAGAUGCUGAGAAGGUAUUGGGCUGCGGGCUCCUGAUCCUGGUCGUAUCUCUCUCUUGCGAUGAUCCAGCUA